rnacentral:lncRNA from 1 species
UCAUAUCUUUCCCUUAAAUUUAUCAUAAAGCAAACACUCAUCUGACCAAACAUAUCGAGAGGAGUCUGGGACAUACAUUAAUUAUCUAAAAUUGUUUCUAUAUAAAAGAACCUCAUGCUUCACUAUGCUUAGAGAAAAUGGCUGAAGGGAAUUAAAUAUACGUCAAAUAUAAACCUGCAAUCAUGCCGUAGAUUGCAAAUCAAAACGCUUGCCAGGAAGUUCCUUCUACGACCUCAAUAUCUACUUCAUUUUGGGCUUGACUUUGAUUCCUCCUCCCAUAACCGCUUGGUGGUGACAGAGUGUGGGUCCUUCUCCUCACUGGAGAGAAGCUUCAACCUCUAUAUCAGUCAAUCAACAAAAUUGGGUCAUAAAAUAUGCCAUGAUUGUUUGUACUUCAAAAAAAUACAUUAAGACACAACAGUUGAGGAAAAAGUCGGAAUGAGGGUGAGGCGGAGGAGGCGGCCAAGACCAACCAAGGCGGAGAUCGUCGAAGGUGGCAUGAAGAACGGCUGAUUGAGAAGAAACAGCAGUUGAGGAAAUGAGAUUUGAGAUGUUCCAUUCCUGACUUGACGAUCCAAUAUGUAUAGCAACGACAGUGGUAGAGGUUUUGAAACGUUUGAGUUAUUAAAGGUAUCAUUAAAGAGGAGAAGAUGGAGAGGUAGCGAUCUAGAAAAUUAGGGUUUGAAGAAAUGAGAAAG